GUUAUUAGUACAUACAGCGAACACGGAAUCAAUGCGAGUGAAGUGAAAUGUAAUGUUUCUCAUCCUGCAUUUACUCAUCCUCAGAUAAUGUCCGUUCUAAUACCUGAAAAAACGGUUCAGUGGUGGAUUGUGUUUCCCAUCGUUAUCAGCAUUGUUUUAGGGCUAACUGUCUACUGGACAAGACACAUUUUCAGAUGUUGUUCAAAAUUGGAACAAGAGGUUAAAGAAGAGUUAGAACCUUAUGAAAGCUACGUUCAGAAAGUAAACACCAUCUACUGUUCUGUACCAGUGAGC